GAUGAACGCUGACGGCGUGCCUAAUACAUGCAAGUCGAGCGAACGGACGAGAAGCUUGCUUCUCUGAUGUUAGCGGCGGACGGGUGAGUAACACGUGGAUAACCUACCUAUAAGACUGGGAUAACUUCGGGAAACCGGAGCCAAUACCGGAUAAUAUUUUGAACCGCAUGGUUCAAAAGUGAAAGACGGUCUUGCUGUCACUUAUAGAUGGAUCCGCGCUGCAUUAGCUAGUUGGUAAGGUAACGGCUUACCAAGGCAACGAUGCAUAGCCGACCUGAGAGGGUGAUCGGCCACACUGGAACUGAGACACGGUCCAGACUCCUACGGGAGGCAGCAGUAGGGAAUCUUCCGCAAUGGGCGAAAGCCUGACGGAGCAACGCCGCGUGAGUGAUGAAGGUCUUCGGAUCGUAAAACUCUGUUAUUAGGGAAGAACAUAUGUGUAAGUAACUGUGCACAUCUUGACGGUACCUAAUCAGAAAGCCACGGCUAACUACGUG
rnacentral:rRNA from 1 species